rnacentral:lncRNA from 1 species
AAGGAGAACCUCAUCCUAACCUGAGCUGAAACCGACCACAUCAGAAAUAGGGAAAGAACCUUGUUGCGACGCCGACUAAGGUCCGACCGUUCGAGACCCGGCAAGAAAAAGAAAACUUUUGCGACGACCCCUCUACGCCACCGCGACCCCCUACCCCAAUGAAAAAUGGAGGCUGAACUACAUUAAAAGCACAAAGAACCUCAUCUCUAUGAAGA